rnacentral:rRNA from 1 species
AAUGAACGUUGGCGGCGUGGAUUAGGCAUGCAAGUCGUACGCUCCGCAAGGGGCGUGGCGCAAGGGUGAGUAAGGCGACGGCAACCAACCCCGCGGCCGGGCAUAGCCACUCGAAAGGGUGGGUAAUUCCCGGCACCCCAGAGUGAUGGCAUCAUCAUUCCGGGAUAGGUGAGACUCCGCCGUGGGACGGACCGUCGUGGUAUCAGCUUGUUGGCGGGGUAAUGGCCCACCAAGGCUAUGACGCCUACCGGGCGUGCGAGCGUGGCCCGGCACACUGGGACUGAGACACUGCCCAGACUCCUACGGGAGGCUGCAGUCGAGAAUCUUCGGCAAUGGGCGCAAGCCUGACCGAGCGACGCCGCGUGGAGGACGAAGGCCUUCGGGUUGUAAACUCCUGUCGAGGGGGAACAAGAGGUGGUGCAGAGCCAUCUUUG